rnacentral:rRNA from 1 species
CCCGGUGACGAUAGCGAUCCGGACAUACCUGAUUUGCCCCGCUUUGCGGGGCUCCAUUCCGAACUCAGAAGUUAAACGGAUCAGCGGGAACGAUAGUAUGGGGGCAACUCCAUGCGAAAAUACCACAUUGCCGGGG